CAGGCUAGUUGCUUCCCUCUCAGAGCACGAGUUGACUCACCAUGCAAUGGAUGGAAAGGCCAGAUUCACUCAUCUCUAAAUUGCCUUCCAGCUUGAAUUAUAAAUUCUGUGGGGAUGGAAAUGGGCUAAGGAAUUGAAUUUGGUUUCCUUGUGGUUAGCAACUUUUUUUUUUAAGUUACCGUUUCUUAAACAUCUCCUAAAGAUUACCAACAACACAUAUGUAAGUUUUUCUAAGCAUUUUACAUAUAUGGAUUCGUUGCCUUCCACAACAAUCCUAGGACAUAGGUACCAUUAGUAUCCCCAUUAUACAGAUUAAGAAACUGAGGUACAGGGAGGCUAAGUAACCAGCCCAGGCAGUGGAGCCGGGGUUCAAACCAGGCAGUCUGGCUGCAAAGUCCCUCUUCCUCACCACCACACUCAACAUUCCAGGCACUGUGCUAACUGUUUACACAAAUCCUCUCCAUUUUGCAGUUGAGAAACCCAAGACUCAGACCAGUUGGGCAACAGCUGAAGGUCACAUAGCUGGGAAGCAGUAGAGAUGAGAUUCAAAGUCGGCAGAGCUCCAGAGUCUCUGCUCUCCCCCACACCCUCCUGCAACCCUGCCAGACGCUCAGGCUUCCAAAGCAAGUUUAACCAAUAUCCCUGCAUUGCCACGCCUCUUCAGGCAAGUCAGCUUCUCCCCGCUGGGCCUCAGUUUCACCAUCUAGAAAAUGACUGGGGGAUUGGCCCAGCUGAUCUUUGAGGUCCCUUGGAGCUCUGUGAGUCUGUGAUGAGAAAGCCCAGUGCAUCUCUCGGAGGAGGGUAAUGUCACGUGCUUGCGAGAUGAGCGAAUGGGUGUCAUUACCAGGCAGCUCCAUUUUCAACGAGGCUCUUUCCACUUGGGGAAAUGGAUGGAAUCACCUAUUGCGUUGGACUGACCUGCUCUCUGGCUUGCAGAAGUCACGGCUCUGGGUGGCACCAAGGCACGAAAUGACACGGACACCUGGCCUGUGUGGGGGCCUUUGUCUGUCCCUCUCUCCCUGCUCCUCCACAGUCAGUAUCCACACUAUGGUUUGAAUGUAUGUAUCUUUCCGACAUUCAUAUGGUUGGAACAUAAACCCCAAGGCAAUGGUAUGAGAAGUUGGGGGGGGCCUUUGGGAGUUGAUUAGGUCAUGAAGGCUCCACCCUUGUGAACGGGAUUAAUGCCCUUAUAGCAAUAAAAGAGCAGGAGGGAACUAGUUAGGCUCAUUGUGAUCUUCCACUCUUCUACCACAUGAGGACACAGUGUUUGUCCCCUCCAGAGGGCAUGGCAAGGCCCCAUCUCGGAAGCAGAGAGAGUCCACACCAGACACUGAAUCUGUUGGCGUCUUGAUCUUGGACUUCCAAUCCUCUAAAACUGUGAGAAAUACAUUUCUAUGGUUUGUAAAUUACUCCAUCGGUGGCAUUUUGUUGUACCAGCAGGAAGGGACUAUGACAUACACCACGGAGGCCACUGCUGCUACAGUGGCUAGCAGAGAGGAUCAUGGGUGGUUCCAGCUCUCAUGCCAGCAAAGGGUCUCAUCCCUGACCCCUAGUCCAGUAUGCUGUGGUCUCCAAGCCCACAGAAAGGCCCUCCCUCCAAACCCCAGCUUUCAGAGUCUAAGGGGCUGACAAAAGGUUAAGGGCUCUAGUUCUGGUCUGAGCUGGGACAGGUGAGCAGGCUACUGUGCAAGAGCUGCUAAAUGCAGAGUCCCCAGGUAUCGAGGUUACCCGGAAAAGUUGGCCUUCCCAAAGCUGCAGUAGGAUCAGCAUGUCCGGUUCAGUGCUGACUGUGCAGGCUUGGGGCCUAUCCCUUGAACUCUGGAAGGGUAUUUGCAAGAUGGACCUCCUGUCCUCAUCUUCCUUCUACCUUUCAGCCUCUUGGUCCUGUGUCACCAGACGGGCUCAGAGCAUUCCUGAGCAACUUUGUGGUUCUGAGCGUCUCUAAGAAACGAGGCCUGGGAGAGGGCAGGGAGGAGGGGAGAGGGGACGGUCAGGUGGGGUGUGGGGGAUUGCAAAACAAAGACACGCUCAUUUGCCAUUUACCAAAGACUUUUUUUUUCUUUUUCUUUUAAAGCUGUUGUUUCCUCAAGGGAAAACUUUAUCUGUGUGUGGGUAAAAUGUUGCUCUCUUAACGAAUCGAAAGCAGAACAUGAGG
rnacentral:lncRNA from 1 species